ensembl:lncRNA
ACGCGCCAAAGUUUGAACGAAGUUUUUAAGUUAAGCGGUUCGAGCUGAAUUAAGCGCAGAAGUUCGGUAAAGAGAAUAAUAAUAAUAAGAAGAAGAAGAACUAGAAAAUGCAUUUCCUGAAGGAAAUACCAGUGCAUGAAAUACAAAAGUUAAGAAAGGAAGAAGAAAAGAAAGAAGAGUGAAAGAAGGAAAGAAGAAAGGAAAGAAGAGUGGAAGAAGGAAAGAAUAAAGGAAAGAAGAGUGAAGAAAGGAAAGAAGAAAAGAAAGAAGAGUGAAAGAAGGAAAGAAGAAAGCAAAGAAGAGUGAAGAAAGGAAAGAAGAGUGGAAGAAGAAAAGAAGAGUUGAAGAAGGAAGGAAGAGUGGAAGAAGGAAAGAAGAGUGAAGAAAGGAAAGAAGAGUUGAAGAAGGAAGGAAGAGUGGAAGAAGGAAAGAAGAAAAGAAAGAAGAGUGAAGAAAGGAAAGAAGAGUGGAAGAAAGGAAAGAAGAGUGGAAGAAGGAAAGAAGAAAAGAAAGAAGAAAGGAAGGAAAGAAGAGUGGAAGAAGGAAAGAAGAAAAGAAAGAAGAGUGAAGAAAGGAAAGAAGAGUGGAAGAAGGACAGAAGAAAAGAAAGAAGAGUGAAAGAAGGAAAGAAGAAAGGAAAGAAGAGUGGAAGAAAGGAAAGAAGAAAGGAAAGAAGAGUGAAGAAAGGAAAGAAGAGUGAAAGAAGGAAAGAAGUGGAAGAAGGAAAGAAAAAAGAAAGAAGAGUGGAAGAAGGAAAGAAGAAAGGAAAGAAGAGUGAAAGAAGGAAAGAAGAAAGGAAAGAAGAGUGGAAGAAAGGAAAGAAGAAAGGAAAGAAGAGUGAAGAAAGGAAAGAAGAGUGAAAGAAGGAAAGAAGUGGAAGAAGGAAAGAAAAAAGAAAGAAGAGUGGAAGAAGGAAAGAAGAGUGGAAGAAGGAAAGAAGAAGAGUGGAAGAAGGAAAGAAUAAUAUUCCUAGUUAUACAGUUGAAUUGAGAGGGAC